GAUGAUGAAGGCCCUCGGGUCGUAAAAUCCUUUUCAGGGGGAAGAGGAAGGACGGUACNCCUGGAAUAAGCGUCGGCUAACUACGUGCCAGCAGCCGCGGUAAGACGUAGGACGCAAGCGUUAUCCGGAUUUACUGGGCGUAAAGCGUCUGUAGGCGGUUGGGUAAGUUGGGCGUGAAAGCUCCGUGCUCAACGCGGAGAGGUCGUUCAAUACUGCCGAACUAGAGGACAUCAGAGGAGCAUGGAAUUUCCGGUGUAGCGGUAAAAUGCGCAGAUAUCGGAAGGAACACCAGUGGCGAAGGCGGUGCUCUGGGGUGUGCCUGACGCUGAGAGACGAAAGCUAGGGGAGCGAACAGGAUUAGAGACCCUGGUAGUCCUAGCCCUAAACGAUGGAUGCUAGAUGUGGGGCCGAGAAGGCUCCGUGUCGCAGUUAACGCGGUAAGCAUCCCGCCUGGGGAUUACGGCCGCAAGGCUAAAACUCAAACGAAUUGACGGGGCCCCGCACAAGCAGCGGAGCGUGUGGUUUAAUUCGAUGCUACACGAAGAACCUUACCUGGGUUUGACAUGUAAGUGGUAGUGAAGCGAAAGCGGAGCGACCCUUCGGGGAGCUUACACAGGUGCUGCAUGGCUGUCGUCAGCUCGUGCCGUGAGGUGUCGGGUUAAGUCCCGUAACGAGCGCAACCCUUGCCCUUAGUUACAAGUGUCUAAGGGGACUGCCGGCGGUAAGCCGGAGGAAGGUGGGGAUGACGUCAAGUCAGCAUAGCCCUUAUAUCCAGGGCUACACACACGCUACAAUGGUCAGUACAAAGGGCAGCGAAGCCGCGAGGUGAAGCGAAUCCCACCAAAGCUGAUCUAAGUUCGGAUUGCAGGCUGCAACUCGCCUGCA
rnacentral:rRNA from 1 species